GUUGAAACACCGGUUUUCGUACGAUCACCGAAAUUUAAGCAACGUCGAGCCUGGUCAGUACCUAGAUGGGUGACCGCUUGGGAAUACCAGGUGCU
rnacentral:rRNA from 1 species